rnacentral:lncRNA from 1 species
UAACUGAUACAUUGAGGAAAUAUUAAUAACACUUCUCUAGCAAGCUUUACUUAAAAAAAAUUGGUAAAUGAGAAAUACAGUUGGGGAAAAACAGUCUUCUUUGUUUGCAUUGACUUUGUUUAUAUCAGUGAUAAGCUCUGCCCCAAGCCAUACCACGGGUGAUGGAAGUGAGUGGGGAAAGGAAUUGGAAAUGGUUCUGAGGAAUGAAGAUAAAUGAAAGGUGAAUAUGUUGCAGUUAGGUUAAAAAAAAAAGAAGAAGAAAGAGAUAAUGUUGCCAUUUGAAAUUCUAGUAUGGGAGAAACUGUGCAGAAAGAGAAGAGAAAAUGAAAUUUUAAAAAGCUUACUAAUAGUGAAAGAAUCAGUAAAAUAAUUUAAAAAAUCACAAAAUAAUUGUAUACAAUAAAAAGUAUGUCUUUUGUUGAUCCAUCAAAAUAAAUAAUGAAGGAAAGAGCAAGUGGGAAACCACAAGACAUCAAAUAAGAUUUUUUUCAAAAAGAGUUAAGAGGGUUCCUAUUGUGGCUUAUUGGUUUAAGUAUUCAACACUGUCUCUGUAAGGAUAUGGGUUCAAUCUCUUGCCUUGCUCAGUGGGUUGAGGAUCUGGCAUUGCUGCAAGCUGUGGCAUAUGUUGCAGAUGUGGCUCAGAUCCAUUGUUGUUGUGGCUGAGGUAUAAACUUACAACUGCAGCUGCAAUUUAACCCCUGGCCAGGAACUUUCAUAGGAUAGGAACUUUCAUAUGCUACAGAAAUAAGAAGAGAAACAAACAAAUAAGUAAAGUUAAGAGGAAUUAUCCUAAUUUUACUAGAGAAAAAUUAAGGUCAGAAAUAAUAAUUAUAGUAAGAAAUAAGGUUUUUAAAUAUAGCUAUGGAUCAAACGAAGGAUUUUUUUCAAAAGUCUACUCUUACAGUCAAACAUACAAGAUUCAAGGAAGCUUUGAAAGAUAGUUAUGUCAAAACUAGACCAGAAAUUGGCAAAUACCACUAAAUGUGUGUUUAUAAUUCAAUCAGUGAAAAUAGAGGAGGCAUAAAAUUAAAGUAUGGAGGAUUUUGUUGUCAUGAUGUGACUUCUCCUAUGUUAUAACACAGUUUUUUUUUUAAGUUUUGUUAAAGUAUAGUUGAUUUAUAAAGUUGUGAUAACUUCUGAUGUACAACAAAGUGACUAAGUUAUACAUGUACACAUAUCAAUUCUCUCUCAGAUUAUUUUCCCACAUAGAUUAUCACAGAAUAUUGGGUAGAGUUCUCUGUGCUAUACAGCAGGUCCCUGUUGGCCAAUCAUUCCAUAUACCUCAGUGUGCACCUGCCAAUCCCAACCCCUGGUCCAUCUCCCACACCACCUGUCCCCUUUGGUAACCAUAAAGUUUUUAAACACUUUGGGAGUUCCUGUCACGGCUCAGUGGUUAACGAAUCUGACUAGGAACCAUGAGGUUGCGGGUUUGAUCCCUGGCCUUGCUCAGUGGGUUAAGGAUCCAGUGUUGCCAUGAGCUGUGUUGUAGGUUGCAGACAAGGCUUGGAUCCCACGUUGCUGUGGCUCUGGCGUAGGCCGGAGGCUACAGCUCUGAUUAGACCCCUAGCCGGGGAACCUCCAUAUGCCGCAGAGGCCCAAGAAAUGGCAAAAAGACAAAAAAAAAUUAAACACAACAGUUUUGACAGCAAUAAUAAAUCCUCCUGCACUGCUGGUGGGAAUGUAAACUGGUACAGCCGCUAUGGAGAACAGUUUGGAGAUACCUUAGAAAUCUAUACAUAGAACUUCCAUAUGACCCUGCAAUCCCACUCUUGGGCAUCUAUCCGGACAAAGCUCUACUUAAAAGAGACACAUGCACCCGCAUGUUCAUUGCAGCCCUAUUCACAAUAGCCAGGACAUGGAAACAAUCCAAAUGUCCAUCGACAGAUGAUUGGAUUCGGAAGAGGUGGUAUAUAUACACAAUGGAAUACUCCUCAGCCAUAAAAAAGAAUGACAUAAUGCCAUUUGCAGCAACAGUGAUGAAACUAGAGACUCUCAUACUGAGUGAAAUGAGCCAGAAAGACAAAGACAAAUACCAUAUGAUAUCACUUAUAACUGGAAUCUAAUAUCCAGCACAAAUGAACAUCUCCUCAGAAGAGAAAAUCAUGGACUUGGAGAAAAGACUUGUGGCUGCCUGAUGGGAGGGGGAGGGAGUGGGAGGGAUCGGGAGCUUGGGCUUAUCAGACACAACCUAGAAUAGAUUUACAAGGAGAUCCUGCUGAAUAGCAUUGAGAACUAUGUCCAGACACUCAUGUUGCAACAGAAGAAAGGGUAGGGGAAAAAAUGUAAUUGUAAUGUAUACAUGUAAGGAUGACUUGAUCCCCUUGCUGUACAGUGGGAAAAUUAAAAAAAAA